CAGCAGCCGCGGUAAUACGUAGGGGGCGAGCGUUGUCCGGAAUUAUUGGGCGUAAAGCGCGCGCAGGCGGUCCUUUAAGUCUGAUGUGAAAGCCCACGGCUCAACCGUGGAGGGUCAUUGGAAACUGGGGGACUUGAGUGCAGGAGAGGAGAGCGGAAUUCCACGUGUAGCGGUGAAAUGCGUAGAGAUGUGGAGGAACACCAGUGGCGAAGGCGGCUCUCUGGCCUGUAACUGACGCUGAGGCGCGAAAGCGUGGGGAGCAAACAGGAUUAGAUACCCUGGUAGUCCACGCCGUAAACGAUGAGUGCUAAGUGUUAGAGGGGUCACACCCUUUAGUGCUGUAGCUAACGCGAUAAGCACUCCGCCUGGGGAGUACGGCCGCAAGGCUGAAACUUAAAGGAAUUGGCGGG
rnacentral:rRNA from 1 species